rnacentral:lncRNA from 1 species
CUACAGUGGCGGAAGUGGAGUAAGACAUCAUGUUGCCUCAAGUUUAAUUGGAAAUCGCGUGCCUUGUGAAGAAUGGACACUCAGUAGAUGCUUAUUGAUGAACCUGUUGGUUGAGGAUAACUCACUAACUUUUCUGAGCUUUGUUGGAAAAACUAGACAGGGGUCUCACUAUGUGAUGCAGGAUGAUCUCAAACUCCCUGGCCUCAAGCGAUCCUCCUGCCUUGGUCUCCUAAAAGUGCUGGGAUUACAGCAGGUCGCUGUAUCUCUAUGCAUUACAGAAAAUGGCUAGUUAAAAACUUGUCAAGAGAUGGGGUUUUACUAUGUUGGAGAAGCUGGUCUCAAACUCCUGGGCUCAAGUCAUCCUCCCGCCUCAGCCUCCCAAAGUGCUGAGAUUACAGAC